rnacentral:rRNA from 1 species
UGGUAGUNCACGCCGUAAACGAUGAGUGCUAGGUGUUGGAUCCUUUCCGGGAUUCAGUGCCGCAGCUAACGCAUUAAGCACUCCGCCUGGGGAGUACGACCGCAAGGUUGAAACUCAAAGGAAUUGACGGGGGCCCGCACAAGCGGUGGAGCAUGUGGUUUAAUUCGAAGCAACGCGAAGAACCUUACCAGGUCUUGACGUCCCGAUGCUAUUUCUAGAGAUAGGAAGUUACUUCGGUACAUCGGUGACAGGUGGUGCAUGGUUGUCGUCAGCUCGUGUCGUGAGAUGUUGGGUUAANNNNNNNNNNGAGCGCAACCCCUAUUGUUAGUUGCCAUCAUUCAGUUGGGCACUCUAGCGAGACUGCCGGUAAUAAACCGGAGGAAGGUGGGGAUGACGUCAAAUCAUCAUGCCCCUUAUGACCUGGGCUACACACGUGCUACAAUGGUUGGUACAACGAGUUGCGAGUCGGUGACGGCGAGCUAAUCUCUUAAAGCCAAUCUCAGUUCGGAUUGUAGGCUGCAACUCGCCUACAUGAAGUCGGAAUCGCUAGUAAUCGCGGAUCAGCACGCCGCGGUGAAUACGUUCCCGGGCCU